CAGCCGCCGCGGUAAUACGUAGGGUGCAAGCGUUAUCCGGAAUUAUUGGGCGUAAAGCGUGCGCAGGCUGUUCAGCAAGUUUGAGGUAAAAUCUGAUCGCUCAACGAUCAAAUCGUCUCAAAAACUACUAAACUAGAGAACGAUAGAGGCAACUAGAAUUCUGCAUGUAGGGGUAAAAUCCGUUGAUAUGCAGAGGAAUACCAAAAGCGAAGGCAGGUUGCUGGGUCGUUUCUGACGCUGUUGCACGAAAGCGUGGGUAGCGAACAGGAUUAGAUACCCUGGUAGUCCACGCCGUAAACGAUGGAUACUCGGUUUGAGGAGGAUUCGACCCCUUUUCGAGCCUAAGCUAACGCGUUAAGUAUCCCGCCUGGGGAGUACGGUCGCAAGAUUAAAACUCAAAGGAAUAGACGGGGACCCACACAAGCGGUGGAGCAUGUGGUUUAAUUCGACGAUAAACGGGGAACCUUACCAAGGCUUGACAUCUCCGGAACUCUACAGAAAUGUGGAGGUGCCGCAAGGAACCGGAUGACAGGCGCUGCAUGGUCGUCGUCAGCUCGUGCCUUGAGGUGUUCGGUUAAGUCCGUAAACGAGCGCAACCCAUGUCUUAUGUUGCAAUUUUCAUAAGAGACUGCCGGCUCUAAGUCGGAGGAAGGUAUGGAUGACGUCAGAUCAGCAUGGCCCUUAUGCCUUGGGCCACACACGUGCUACAAUGGCUGGUACAAUGGGCAGCUAACCCGUAAGGGGGAGCCAAUCUCAUCAAAGCUAGUCUAAGUUCGGAUUGAGGGCUGCAAUUCGCCCUCAUGAAGUUGGAAUCGCUAGUAAACGCGAAUCAGACAUGUCGCGUUGAAUAUGUUCCUGGGUCUUGUACUCACCGCCCGUCAUAUCAUGAAAGGUGGGAGUAUCCGAAGUCGCCUUAGUCCCUCGGGACGGGCGCCUAAGGUAAAUCCACUGAUUGGGAUAAAGUCGUAACAAGGUAACCGUA
rnacentral:rRNA from 1 species